AGUCGACGGCAGCAUGGCAUAAUUUCGGUUAUGUUGAUGGCGAGUGGCGAACGGGUGAGUAACGCGUAGGAAUAUACCUUAAAGAGUGGGAUAACUUGGGGAAACUCAAGCUAAUACCGCAUGUACUCUGAGGAGGAAAGCUGGGGACCUUCGGGCCUGGCGCUUUAAGAUUAGCCUGCGUCCGAUUAGCUAGUUGGUGGGGUAAAGGCCUACCAAGGCGACGAUCGGUAGCUGGUCUGAGAGGAUGAUCAGCCACACUGGGACUGAGACACGGCCCAGACUCCUACGGGAGGCAGCAGUGGGGAAUAUUGGACAAUGGGGGGAACCCUGAUCCAGCAAUGCCGCGUGUGUGAAGAAGGCCUGAGGGUUGUAAAGCACUUUUGUAGAGGAGGAGGGUAGACCAUGUUAAGAGCUAGGUUUACUGACGUUACUCUAAGAAUAAGCACCGGCUAACUCCGUGCCAGCAGCCGCGGUAAUACGGAGGGUGCAGGCGUUAAUCGGAAUUACUGGGCGUAAAGGGUGCGUAGGCGGUUACGUAAGUUAUCUGUGAAAUCCCUGGGCUUAACCUGAGUAGGAAAGAUAAUACUGCGUGACUAGAGUGUGGUAGAGGAUAGUGGAAUUUCCGGUGUACCGGUGAAAUGCGUAGAGAUCGGAAGGAACACCAGUGGCGAAUGCGGCUAUCUGGACCAACACUGACGCUGAGGCACGAAAGCGUGAGGAGCAGACAGGAUUAGAUACCCUGGUAGUCCACGCCGUAAACGAUGUCAACUUACUGUUGGUCACAUUAAAG
rnacentral:rRNA from 1 species